rnacentral:rRNA from 1 species
AGUGAACGCUGGCGGUAGGCCUAACACAUGCAAGUCGAACGGCAGCACAGGAGAGCUUGCUUUCUGGGUGGCGAGUGGCGGACGGGUGAGGAAUACAUCGGAAUCUACUCUGUCGUGGGGGAUAACGUAGGGAAACUUACGCUAAUACCGCAUACGACCUACGGGUGAAAGCAGGGGACCUUCGGGCCUUGCGCGAUUGAAUGAGCCGAUGUCGGAUUAGCUAGUUGGCGGGGUAAAGGCCCACCAAGGCGACGAUCCGUAGCUGGUCUGAGAGGAUGAUCAGCCACACUGGAACUGAGACACGGUCCAGACUCCUACGGGAGGCAGCAGUGGGGAAUAUUGGACAAUGGCGCAAGCCUGAUCCAGCCAUACCGCGUGGGUGAAGAAGGCCUUCGGGUUGUAAAGCCCUUUUGUUGGGAAAGAAAUCCAGCUGGCUAAUACCCGGUUGGGAUGACGGUACCCAAAGAAUAAGCACCGGCUAACUUCGUGCCAGCAGCCGCGGUAA